GGGAGCCGUAUGAAUCGAGAGAUUCACGUACGGUUCUGAGAGGGCCUGGGGGUGAAAUUCCCCCGGGCUACUUACC
rfam:Methanosarcina sp. Ant1 MSANT_contig000167, whole genome shotgun sequence.